UCAGGUAGGGAUACCCGCUGAACUUAAGCAUAUCAAUAAGCGGAGGAAAAGAAACCAACAGGGAUUGCCCUAGUAACGGCGAGUGAAGCGGCAACAGCUCAAAUUUGAAAGCUAGCCUUCGGGUUCGCAUUGUAAUUUGUAGAGGAUACUUUGGGUAAAACGCCAGUCUAAGUUCCUUGGAACAGGACGUCAUAGAGGGUGAGAAUCCCGUAUGUGACUGGAAACGUUGACCUAUGUAAAGUUCCUUCGACGAGUCGAGUUGUUUGGGAAUGCAGCUCUAAAUGGGAGGUAAAUUUCUUCUAAAGCUAAAUAUUGGCGAGAGACCGAUAGCGCACAAGUAGAGUGAUCGAAAGAUGAAAAGCACUUUGGAAAGAGAGUUAAAAAGCACGUGAAAUUGUUGAAAGGGAAGCGCUUGCAAUCAGACUUGUUUAAACUGUUCGGCCGGUCUUCUGACCGGUUUACUCAGUUUGGACAGGCCAGCAUCAGUUUCGGCGGCCGGAUAAAGGCUCUGGGAAUGUGGCCUCCACUUCGGUGGAGGUGUUAUAGCCCAGUGUGUAAUACGGCCAGCCGGGACUGAGGUCCGCGCUCG
rnacentral:rRNA from 1 species